CCCAGAGCUCCAACGGCGUGAGCGAAGUGGCGGGAAACAUAGCAAGCGCACAGAAAAGAGGAGAAGUGGAGAAGAAUAUGGAGAACAACAACAGGUACACAAGAAUUCUUUCUGCUCCUACAGAAGUUUGUUAUUCCAAUUUGAGAUCAUCACUUCACAGACUACUGACAGAUGGCGUGUACACAUCAGCCAUAACAAAGUUUUGUUUUAACAUUUCAG
rnacentral:lncRNA from 1 species